UACGAAGGGGGCUAGCGUUGCUCGGAAUCACUGGGCGUAAAGGGUGCGUAGGCGGGUUUUUAAGUCAGAGGUGAAAUCCUGGAGCUCAACUCCAGAACUGCCUUUGAUACUGAAGGUCUUGAGUAUGGGAGAGGUGAGUGGAACUGCGAGUGUAGAGGUGAAAUUCGUAGAUAUUAGGAAGAACACCAGUGGCGAAGGCGACUCACUGGACAUGUAUUGACGCUGAGGUGCGAAAGCGUGGGGAGCAAACAGGG
rnacentral:rRNA from 1 species